rnacentral:rRNA from 1 species
AUUGAACGCUGGCGGCAGGCCUAACACAUGCAAGUCGAACGAGUGGCGGACGGGUGAGUAAUGUCUGGGAAACUGCCUGAUGGAGGGGGAUAACUACUGGAAACGGUAGCUAAUACCGCAUACCAUCAGAUGUGCCGAGCUGGGCUUAGCUGGUUGGUGGGGUAACGGCGCACCAAGGCGACGAUCCCUAGCUGGUCUGAGAGGAUGACCGGCCACACGGGAACUGAGACACGGGCCAGACUCCUACGGGAGGCAGCAGUGGGGAAUAUUGGACAAUGGGCGAAAGCCUGAUGCAGCCAUGCCGCAUGGAUGAAGAAGGCCUUCGGGUUGUAAAGUACUUUCAGCGGGGAGGCGUUACCCGCAGAAGAAGCACCGGCUAACUCCGUGCCAGCAGCCGCGGUAAUAC